ensembl:processed_transcript 4931413K12Rik RIKEN cDNA 4931413K12 gene
AAGGUUCAAGCUACCGAUGGAGCGACUUCCCCACAGCAGCCCUGCUGCCUUCCUGUCAGUGCUGUCUUGCUGAGUGAGACCAGGCUGAGGAAGGUCACAGACAGCUGAAUCUGGACCAGCGACACUUCCCAGGCUCCUCCUGCUGGGCCCAGGCCCCGACUACUCUGCCCUCUCUCACCACUUCCACCAUGCUGCAGAGCCACCACAAGCUAAACUGCCAGCUGUGGGCGUCCUCAAGGAAAGCAACGGUACAUAGAAGUACUUCCAACUUAGAGGGCAGAAUUUCUGCACCCUCAGAAGAAACUUCCUAGAAAACAAUACGCCUUUUAUCUUCAAGAACACAGCAAAAAUCACAUCGAAGAAUUUGCAGAACUCAAAUCCGGGAAAAUCCUGUUGGAGGAAGUGUCAGAAAAAGCAACAGGGACAACCUUGAGGUCCAAGCCGUCCCUCAGAACAGACUAGUUACAGUCCAGCGCCUUCAAGGAUGCUCUGAGCCUGCUUCCACCUGCACACCCAGACAUUUCUCCCUUGCUCCCUCGGAACAGAACCACCUCAGCGGCCACGGGGGACAAUGGGAAAAGGAUAGGGCAGAGGCCCAGCUGGGCCAAGACUGGUGCCAUGCUCACCAUGACAUGACCUUCACGUGUGUCCGUCUCAGGGCUGCAGUGCUGCAACCCACAGCCAAGUAUCUGGAUGCCCCCUCCUGCCCAGGGAUGCACACACAGGGAACCCUAUCCGUCACACUGAAACACAGAUGCCCGGCAGGUUCCGUAUUGCCAGCACCCUUGGUCCUUUCCCUGACAGGCUUCAAGUGGGGAGAACAAAGAAUGAGAAAGGAGCACCUGCCUCCCAGGCUCACUUGUCUCCUCAAAAGGCCCUUCUUUCCCCAGUUUGACCUUUACAAAACUACACAUUUCUACAGACUGUAGGAUUCAAGUGAGAUUUUUUUUUAAUCUGAAAAGUGAGAAGAACUCGUUCGUUCGUUUGGAGACUAUGGGUUAAAAUGCAGAGCGCACCAUGUUCUCCUUGGAGAACACUGGCACCCAAGCGUUCUUGCUCUUCACCACAGGAAGCUCUGGGCUCUGGCUGGAUUAGCUGCUCUCAAGACUGGGGCCUCCAAAUGUUCUCGAGAGUCAAGGUAGGAUGACACCUGGCUCUCUUCUGUGUGCCAUUCAAACUACACUGUGUCUUCAACAUCUCAUCACCUCCAAGGAGAAAACCCUGGGGGGGAGAGACAAAGUGCCCUCUGCACACUUGGCCAUAAGAGUUUCCCAAGUUUCUCUC